GCACCUGUGGCGGAAUUGGCAGACGCGCUAGAUUCAGGUUCUAGUCGGGGCAACUCGGUGCAGGUUCAAGUCCUGUCAGGUGCACCA
rnacentral:tRNA from 1 species